AUUGUCAAAUAAAUAUAGAAGCAUUUCUUUGCUCUACCUUUGUCAAUUUAUGAUGCUUCCCUUCAAUUUGUAGGCCCAUGUGAGGCACAGAUUCCUUUGGUGAUAAUGACAUCCGAUGACACACAUGCACGUACUUUAGAGCUUUUAGAGUUGAAUUCAUAUUUUGGAAUGAAGUCAACACAAGUGAAACUUCUUAAACAGGAAAAGGUAGCAUGCUUAGAUGAUAAUGAUGCCAGGCUUGCAAUUGAACCUCAAAACAAAUAUAAAAUUCAAACCAAACCUCAUUGCCAUGGAGAUGUGCACUCACUUCUUUAUUCUAGCAGCCUCCUAAACUCAUGGCUGAGAAUCUAGAAGAUCAACAUGGAGAUAUUUGCUACGGCCAACUGACUUCUCUACUUGAUCUUCCUCUAGAGGCAAGCAUGACAGAUUUGGAAGUCCAAAUACUGAUAGAGUGAUGGAAAUGUAGAAAAGGUUGAAGCCUGUGCAAAGGAGCUUGAAGAUUUACAAUGCAAGCCCAAAAAGAAGCUCUGCCUGAUAUGCAAUGUAAAGACAAGUUCCUCUUUUAGAGUGUCAUUGCAAGUCAUGGUGCAACCACAAAGGAACAAGUGUUUUCUCUAGGAGUGGAGCACAUCAUGGAGGAUUAUUUAUUUAUUUUUAUUGUAUUCGUGCAAUUGUAAACCUAUUGUUGUAAAUAUAUAAUUUUUAUUAUA